GACGAACGCUGGCGGCGUGCUUAACACAUGCAAGUCGAACGGAAAGGCCCUGCUUUUGUGGGGUGCUCGAGUGGCGAACGGGUGAGUAACACGUGAGUAACCUGCCCUUGACUUUGGGAUAACUUCAGGAAACUGGGGCUAAUACCGGAUAGGAGCUCCUGCUGCAUGGUGGGGGUUGGAAAGUUUCGGCGGUUGGGGAUGGACUCGCGGCUUAUCAGCUUGUUGGUGGGGUAGUGGCUUACCAAGGCUUUGGCGGGUAGCCGGCCUGAGAGGGUGACCGGAAACAUUGGGACUGAGAUACGGCACAGACUCCUACGGGAGGCAGCAGUGGGGAAUAUUGCACAAUGGGCGGAAGACUGAUGCAGCAACGCCGCGUGCGGGAUGACGGCCUUAGGGUUGUAAACCGCUUUCGCCUGUGACGAAGCGUGAGUGAAGGUAAUGGGUAAAGAAGCACCGGCUAACUACGUG
rnacentral:rRNA from 1 species